AUUGAACGCUGGCGGCAGGCCUAACACAUGCAAGUCGAGCGCGCGGCGGACGGGUGAGUAAUUUAUGGGGAACUGCCCGAUGGAGGGGGAUAACUACUGGAAACGGUAGCUAAUACCGCAUACUAUCAGAUGAACCCAUAUGGGAUUAGCUAGUAGGUGGGGUAACGGCUCCCCAAGGCGACGAUCCCUAGCUGGUCUGAGAGGAUGAUCAGCCACACGGGGACUGAGACACGGGCCAGACUCCGACGGGAGGCAGCAGUGGGGAAUAUUGCACAAGGGGCGCAAGCCUGAUGCAGCCAUGCCGAGUGUAUGAAGAAGGCCUUAGGGUUGUAAAGUACUUUCAGCGGGGAGGCGUUACCCGCAGAAGAAGCACCGGCUAACUCCGUGCCAGCCGCCGCGGUAAUAC
rnacentral:rRNA from 1 species